AAUAAAGGCAAGUGAAACAAGGAGUGCUGUGAUUGCUAAGUAGGAAUCGGGCUGUAGCUCAGUGGACGAGCAACUGCUUGCUUGCAGAAGGUCUCAGGUUCGAUCCCUGGCAACAUCUUCAGGCCCUGGUUUCGCCAAUAGGAAACGGCGUGGCACAUUUAAUUUGCUCUUUUGUUACGAUGGGGCUGAGUUGGGAGCCGGAAGCCGGAUUGGCCGAGACGGAGCCAUGUGACGGCAUGAGAGAUUAGUUCACUGGACCCCGUGUUUCAGCCACCUCAAUUACUGGCUGCCUCUUGUAAUUUAGC